UUCACAUACUUGAAAGUUUAGGUAAGGAACAAAAGGCAUCAGAAAAAAUUGUUCAGGCCUGGGCACAGACCGUUCACUGUGGUAUGGUACUGCACCCAGCACGAGAGGCUGGCAUCUCUGCUUCCUGCCUCCUAAAUGCCAGCAAUUGUAGCCAAAAUUUUUGACAAAAAUAAAACUCUACACACAACUAUUUCCAAAUUGAUUCACCUUACUCUCCAUUUCUCCUUCCUUCUCCGUCCCCAUGAAGAAAGCUUUCCUGGUUCCUGUGGAAAGGAAUCAAGGGGCUAUCUGCUUAACAGGGUAUGAGCCAAACAGUUCCCGCGCACUGGGGUGUCUGUGUAUCAUUCUAUUAUCUCAAGACCCUUCUUUCCAUCAGAGAGCAGGGGUUGGGACUUGCCUACCAGACAUUAAGGGUGAGCGCUGAGAAUUUACUCCAUUGCCAUUCUGCUUUAAUUUUUCUUACAUUUUAUUUACUUUUUUUUGGGGGGGGGUGUAUACGUGUGUGCCCUUGGUGUACAGGUGGAGGUUAGAGAAGAACUUCCUGCAGUCAUCUGUCCUUUCCACCAGGUGGUGGAUCCCAGGUCAUCAGACUUAGAACCAGGCGCCUUUACCUCCUGAGCCACCUCACCAGCCUUUCAUCAUCAGAUGGGGAUGGUAAUUCUCCCAGUCCUUGCCUGCUGAGUGCCAAUUGUGGCUUUCUGUGAUGCUCUCCAUGUACUGCAAAAAAAGAAGCUCCUUUGGUGAGAGAUGCAACGUGACCAGCGGCCUCCCCACGUGCCAGCUGCCAUGCUUCCCCUGUUGUGUGGACUGUGUCUCCUAGAACCGUAAGCCAGAGUCUUCUCAGGGCUGGUGCUUCAACUGGGACUGUGCACAUUGGCUCCAACAACCUCUAUUUCCGAUUCCCUCUGGAAACAGUGCAAUUUAUGACAACCAGGAGUUCCCGUGAUCAUGACCCACACCUCCUUCACUUGAAGUUGACACCCAUUGGCUGCUCUACUACGUGGAGUUUCUGCACCAUUGCCUAAGUUCCUGGAUAAAGAGAAAGCAGAACCUCUUAGAAAUCUGAAAGACAGCAGUCCUUCCCAUCAAGACAACACAAAGCUGACUGAACUGGAUGGGCCAGAGGAGGCUUGUAUCCUGGAGGCUUUGAAAAGGUUCAAAGUAGACACCAUAGUUCAGUGACCAUGUUCCCAGCCCUCAGCAAAUGAAUCCCACUGGCUGCCCUUCUCCUAGCCUCCACCAUGCCUCUGGAUGCUCACAAACUCUGGCUCUACAAUCAACCAUGGUCUACAGAUUUCCUUGGAGCUGUGAGGACACUUCUUAUCAGUUCAUUUCAGUGGCAUGAACUAGUUGUUUCAGAUGGCAUGCAUACCACACAGUGGGCAAAAUGGACCAGGCCAAGUCACAUUAUGAUCUCAAAGGAAGGCUCCUUAGCCAGUCUCAUCCAGUGCUGGUCUGGUUGUCACAUCUUCUAUAAUUGCUCACCUUGUACUUAUUUCAAGAAAUUUAAAGUAAAACCUGA